rnacentral:lncRNA from 1 species
AAAACAUUGAGAGUUUACACUGAAAAUUUGGAGAAGAAAAAUUAAAAAGAAACUUAAAAUAGAUGUAGACCACACACAAUGCACCCGGUUGCAAAAUCCAGUGCCAGAGAACCCCCGACUCAGCUCAGCCUGUCCACCCGUGAUUUUGGAAGACGCUCUCUGUAGCUCAGUCGUGAAUCUGGAGUGCACUCUGAAAUCUUCAACACAAUUGCCUCGGCCCACGUGAGGCAGAUGGUAGAGCCUUGCCUCAGUUGAGCUCUCGGGAAGAAUCCAUUUCCUUGCCUUUUCCAGCUUCUAGAGGCCCCCCACAUUCCCUGGCUCACACCCCAUCUUCAAAGCCGGCAGCAGUGGAGAGACAAAGAUACUAACCAUGCUGAACCGCGCAUCUACUAAAAUAUGCUGAAGACUGAAAAAGAAAAAAUGUAAAUGAGCCCCUAGAAGAAAUCCUUUCAGUUCUUUUUUCAUCAGAAUGGUACCUUUCCACGGCUAAAGACACUCAAGACCUGCGUGCUCCUGUGUUCAGCCUCCCAGAUUUCCUGGGACAUCACGCAAAUUGUCUCUUCAAUCGCCUUUCACGCGUGUGUUAACCACGUCUUCACCGGGUUGCUGGCCCACUCUUUCUGUAGGACACCCUCUUGCAUAGCACACUCCUCCUAUAAAACGUGGACUUCUAUAAUAAUGUGGACUUCUCCUAUAAAACGUGGACUUCUAUAAUAACGAGGACUUCUCCUAUAAAACGUGGACUUCUAUAAUAACAUGGACUUCUCCCAUGUUUGUGUCAGUGAUUUCCUUUCCCUCUUAUCUCAAGCCUUCUUCUUUUUCUAUCACAUUUUCUAUCACAUUCUAUCUCAAUCUCCUUUUUCUAUCACAUUUCCUACAUUCGUGCCUGUGAGUUUAUGCAGCUAUUGAUGUUGUCAUACAGUCCAUAACAAUAAAUACAAAAUCCAUACUGAGAAGUCUAAUGCUUCACUACUGUAAAUGCUGUUCAGAAGGAUGAGCACAUGGAAGGCUAGUCCCUUCACUUCUGAGCAACAACGAGGGCAUCUCUAGGGUCGAUUAGAAUCCUCUCUUAUUCGUGACUGGCUCGCAAUCAGAGGACAAUAUUUCAGAGAGUGAAUACAGCAGUGCCCUUACAAGUCUACUGAAAUAGGAUCUAAAAAGCUGUAAAACUUAUCACAAAUAUUGCCACCUUUUUUAUCCAUUCAGGAAUUCCUGUUUUGAAGCCUUUAGCAUUAGUCAUGAAGCCAAAACAAAUUUUAAAAUAAGAGCAAAUUGUAAAAAAAAAAAGGAAAUUUUUCCCUACUGUACCAUUUCUAGGAAAUAAGUGGUUGAUAACCUACAGUACAUAUCACUGUGCCCAGCACAUCAAGAGCUCUCAGUCAAUGACUCUUGAAUGGAC